GACGAACGCUGGCGGCGUGCCUAAUACAUGCAAGUAGAACGCACAGUUUAUACCGUAGCUUGCUACACCAUAGACUGUGAGUUGCGAACGGGUGAGUAACGCGUAGGUAACCUGCCUGGUAGCGGGGGAUAACUAUUGGAAACGAUAGCUAAUACCGCAUAAUAUUAAUUAUUGCAUGAUAAUUAAUUGAAAGGUGCAAUUGCACCACUACCAGAUGGACCUGCGUUGUAUUAGCUAGUAGGCGAGGUAACGGCUCACCUAGGCGACGAUACAUAGCCGACCUGAGAGGGUGAUCGGCCACACUGGGACUGAGACACGGCCCAGACCCCUACGGGAGGCAGCAGUAGGGAAUCUUCGGCAAUGGACGAAAGUCUGACCGAGCAACGCCGCGUGGGUGAAGAAGGUUUUCGGAUCGUAAAGCUCUGUUGUAAGAGAAGAACGGGUGUGAGAGUGGAAAGUUCACACUGUGACGGUAUCUUACCAGAAAGAGACGGCUAACUACGUG
rnacentral:rRNA from 1 species